UACGGAGGGUGCAAGCGUUGUCCGGAUUUAUUGGGUUUAAAGGGUGCGUAGGCGGCUAUUUAAGUCAGUGGUGAAAUCCAACAGCUUAACUGUUGAACUGCCAUUGAUACUGGAUGGCUUGAGUACAGACGAGGUAGGCGGAAUUUAUGGUGUAGCGGUGAAAUGCAUAGAUACCAUAAAGAACACCGAUUGCGAAGGCAGCUUACUAGGCUGUAACUGACGCUGAGGCACGAAAGUGUGGGGAUCAAACAGG
rnacentral:rRNA from 1 species